rnacentral:misc_RNA from 1 species
UCUUUCUUGGGCUAUGG